AACGUAGGGGGCCAGCGUUGCUCGGAAUUACUGGGCGUAAGGGGUCCGUAGGCGGUGUGGCAAGUCGGAAGUGAAAUCUCUGGGCUUAACCCAGAGGCUGCUUCCGAAACUGCUGUGCUAGAGUGUGAGAGAGGCGAGCGGAAUUGCGGGUGUAGCGGUGAAAUGCGUAGAUAUCCGCAGGAACAUCCGAGGCGAAAGCGGCUCGCUGGAGCACAACUGACGCUGGGGGACGAAAGCGAGGGGAGCAAACAGG
rnacentral:rRNA from 1 species